rnacentral:rRNA from 1 species
AUUGAACGCUGGCGGCAUGCUUUACACAUGCAAGUCGGACGGCAGCACAGAGAAGCUUGCUUCUUGGGUGGCGAGUGGCGAACGGGUGAGUAACAUAUCGGAACGUACCGAGCAGUGGGGGAUAACUAAUCGAAAGAUUAGCUAAUACCGCAUAUUUUCUGAGGAAGAAAGCAGGGGACCAUUUGGCCUUGCGCUGUUUGAGCGGCCGAUAUCUGAUUAGCUAGUUGGUGGGGUAAAGGCCUACCAAGGCGACGAUCAGUAGCGGGUCUGAGAGGAUGAUCCGCCACACUGGGACUGAGACACGGCCCAGACUCCUACGGGAGGCAGCAGUGGGGAAUUUUGGACAAUGGGCGCAAGCCUGAUCCAGCCAUGCCGCGUGUCUGAAGAAGGCCUUCGGGUUGUAAAGGACUUUUGUCAGGGAAGAAAAGGACAGGGUUAAUACCCCUGUCUGAUGACGUACCUGAAGAAUAGC